rnacentral:rRNA from 1 species
AUUGAACGCUGGCGGCAUGCCUAACACAUGCAAGUCGAACGAGUGGCGGACGGGUGAGUAAUGUCUGGGAAACUGCCUGAUGGCGGGGGAUAACUACUUGAAACGGUGGCUAAUACCGCAUACCAUCGGAUGUGCCCAGAUGGGAUUAGCUUGUUGGUGGGGUAACGGCUCACCAAGGCGACGAUCCCUAGCUGGUCUGAGAGGAUGACCAGCCACACUGGGACUGAGACACGGUCCAGACUCCUACGGGAGGCAGCAGUGGGGAAUAUUGCACAAUGGGCGCAAGCCUGAUGCAGCCAUCCCGCGUGUAUGAAGAAGGCCUUCGGGUUGUAAAGUACUUUCAGCAGGGAAGCGUUACCCGCAGAAGAAGCACCGGCUAACUCCGUGCCAGCAGCCGCGGUAAUUC